rnacentral:rRNA from 1 species
GAUGAACGCUGGCGGCGUGCCUAAUACAUGCAAGUCGAGCGAACGGACGAGAAGCUUGCUUCUCUGAUGUUAGCGGCGGACGGGUGAGUAACACGUGGAUAACCUACCUAUAAGGCUGGGAUAACUUCGGGAAACCGGAGCUAAUACCGGAUGAUAUUUUGAACCGCAUGGUUCAAAAGUGAAAGACGGUCUUGCUGUCACUUAUAGAUGGAUCCGCGCUGCAUUAGCUAGUUGGUAAGGUAACGGCUUACCAAGGCAACGAUGCAUAGCCGACCUGAGAGGGUGAUCGGCCACACGGGAACUGAGACACGGUCCAGACUCCUACGGGAGGCAGCAGUAGGGAAUCUUCCGCAAUGGGCGAAAGCCUGACGGAGCAACGCCGCGUGAGUGAUGAAGGUCUUCGGAUCGUAAAACUCUGUUAUUAGGGAAGAACAUAUGUGUAAGUAACUGUGCACAUCUUGACGGUACCUAAUCAGAAAGCCACGGCUAACUACGUG